rnacentral:rRNA from 1 species
UACGUAGGUGGCAAGCGUUGUCCGGAUUUACUGGGCGUAAAGAGCGCGCAGGCGGUCGUGCAAGUCGCGUGUGAAAGCCCCCGGCUCAACUGGGGAGGGUCACGCGAUACUGCUCGACUCGAAGGCAGGAGAGGGAAGCGGAAUUCCCGGUGUAGUGGUGAAAUGCGUAGAUAUCGGGAGGAACACCAGUGGCGAAGGCGGCUUCCUGGCCUGUUCUUGACGCUGAGGCGCGAAAGCUAGGGGAGCAAACGGG